rnacentral:lncRNA from 1 species
UAUUUAUUUUUUGUAUAUGUAGGUACUAGUUGAAAGUAACAGCAACGAUGAAAAAAGUGCACACAACAUUGAAAUAUCCAGUUCACUACUAGCUCAAAUCCUGCGACAUAUCACUUGCUAGUAGCCCAGUCUAGUUUAACUUUGCCCAAUCAAGAAUCAUCUCCUGAAUCAGGCAUACUGGCAACACUGGUUCAUUUGAUGAUGUAAGUUUUUAAACUGGUAUUUUAGAUUUAUAUAGCCUCUAUAAAAUCAGGAUGAAAGUCAUGCAUGAAUUGCUUAUCAAUACACAAAGGACAUUUCAAGUUCCAGAUGAACAAAAUAUUAUUAAAUUAAAGCUUUGAUGAGUGUUCUGCAACUAUGUUUCAACUUUAAAAUACUCUCAUCCUCGUUUGACCCAUAAUUAUUUGUUGAUUUUACUCGAUACUAAAUAGUGAAACAUCGAAUCCAGAGAAAAUCUUUAUAUGCAGAACCCACUGUAAUUCCGAGCUGUAAUCACAUAAUUAUAUAAAAGUCGUUUCAGUAGCAGCAAAAGCCAAACUAAACACCAAUCUAGGAUUAAUAGGUUUAGCUUUUGGGCCGAGAAUAAUACACGAUUGACAAUUUUGUGGUUGAUUAAUUAAUUAAUAGUAUACUGUAUAUUGAUGUUGUUGUAUACAGGACAUCUGACUUACAUGUCAAAUUAAUAGUCGAAUCUAUGAUUAUAUUGAGCAUGGCAGAUUUGACAUUUGAAACAUUGUUGAUGUUAAUAACCCAUUGAGUCGCAUUGCGCCCUGAUGCACACUAAGUAUUUAUUAUUUUGCUCUGGCUAUCUAACGCUAGCAAUUUUACUCAUCAAGGGGAGAGCACUGGCGGUUAAUGUGUUAACUAGCCUAUCUGCCCAUGUGUACAUAGUUAACCCAUUGAGUCGCAUUGUGCCCUAAUGCGGCCUAAUUUAUUAUUUUACUCUGUCUAUCGCAGGACAAUAUUAAGGGCAGAGCGCUGGCGCUUAAUGUGUUAACUAGCCUAUCUGCCCAUGUGUGUUGUUAACACAUUGAGUUGCAUUGUGCCCUAAUUUAUUAUUUUACUCUGUCUAAUGCCAGAUGAUUUCACUCAUUAAGGGGACAGCACUGGUGCUUAAUGGGGUUAACUGGCCUAUCUGCCCAUGUGUGUUGUUAACACAUUGAGUCGCAUUCCGCCCUAAUUUAUUUUUUUUACUCUGUCUUGAGAGGAGAACGCUGGUGCUUAAUGGGGUUAAUAUUGAAAAUAUAGAUCAACAUUGGUCAAAACGCAUGACUUGUGCAAUCAUUUCUGUAAUAAUUAAGAUAUUAAUUAAAAUACCAAAUAUAAUGCCUUAUGGCAAAUAGGGAGAUGCUAUGUAUGUCCAUUGAAAUUUAGUGGAUUUGUUGUAGUACAUCAAAUAAAUGCUAGCCAUAAACAUAUUCAAGUCAAUCGAAGAGAAUGUAGAAUUGCACUUUACAUAAAAUUCCCUAGUUAUUGUACAUUAAUGAAAAAGCAUUUGAAAUGGAAAUAUAUUGUUUUAAUUUUAUUUCUAUGGUUUGUACUAUGAUAUACAUGGGCUAUACACUCUUUGGGAACCCACAGGGCUGUUGGCAGAGCAUUUCCAUGAUCUGGAACUUCAGUCCUAAACACGAUGUGUGGGUGCGAAGAUGUUGUGUAGGAACAGAACUGUACAGAUUAGAAAUAUGAUUACUGAUAUUUUCCAAAGAAAAACUAUUAAUAUAUAGAAGAGGAAAGAAAGAGGCAAUUUGAAAUUUAAAGAUGGUAGGCUUAUUAAGGAUGAGAUACAGAGAAAAACAGUAAUGCAGAACUACAUUCUCUUAAAUUGUCAAAAUUAAACGCUACCAAUCUUGGUCUCGUUUCAAACUUGAAUAACAAAAAGUCUAAAAAUAUAAAAACUAUAAGAACAGAUCAGCUAAGUCCAGUUAUAAAAUUAAAUGACCAAGAUAUAAUGAAUACCACUAGUGACAUGAGUAUAUCCAAUUAAUAUUUAACUAGAAAUAAAUGCAUGCAGCAACCCCUAGCCUAUAUUUUCCAAACAUUGAUUUAACGUGAACUAUUAGCAAUUGGCCAGCACUGAACGCAGGCUCACGUUGUGUCAAGUGUUGUCAAGGCAACAUAAUGUCACAUUAUAUUUUAAUUUUUUUUUAAUAAUUUUGCAAGUGUUCAUACCACAGAAUCUACCAUACAUAAUUUUAAACAAAUAGAUAGGUGAAGUAAUUCAAACAAAAUGAUUUUGAACUUUAUUACUCUACUCUGUCGAACGCCUAUUCUACUCGUAAAGGGGAGAGCCCUGGUGCUUAAUGGGUUAAGUAAGAUCGUAUAGUUAUAUGUAUAUCAUGUAUUAUGUUUUUAUGUAGUCUGCCUGAAUCACUUGUACCAGGCUAUGGAAAUUCAUGUUUCCAAUUUUGUAUUUAUUUUUCUUAUGAUGCAGUAUACUGUAAAUUUGAAUAAUAUUUGUGUGCUUAUAGUGAGCUUAUUUUUAGGAGAGUUUGUUGCGAGGCAGCAUAUAUUUUGAUUUUUCAAAAUAUUACUGUAUAUUGGUAUGUUAUACUUAAUAUUAGAAUGUUAGGGUUUGGAAUCCAAGUGAGAAUAUAUACAUUUUAAGACCUAACCAGGAACAACUGCGAAAAAUGCAGCACAAGGUCCUCUGGUAGGAAUCAAACCUACGGCCCUGCGAUUCCGGUGCAGCGCUCUAACCAACUGAGCUACAGAGGCCAGCCGUUAAGCUGUAACCGUAAGUUCAUGUAUAUAUAGGUAAUCAGGUGUGCGGGUUGUGAUAAGGUGGACUUCAUGACUUAGAUUCUGCACUUCACUUGGUGGAAUUAAUAUUAGAAUGAAUCCAAGUGAGAAUAUAUACAUUUUAAGACCUAACCAGGAACAACUGCGAAAAAUGCAGCACAAGGUCCUCUGGUAGGAAUCGAACCUACGGCCCUGCGAUUCCGGUGCAGCGCUCUGAGCUACAGAGGCCAGCUGUUAAGCUGUAACCGUAAGUUUAUGUAUAUAUAGGUAAUCGGGUGUGCGGGUUGUGAUAAGGUGGACUUCAUCAUGAUUCUAAUAUUAAUUCCACCAAGUGAAGUGCAGAAUCUAAGUCAUGUUAUACUUAAUGCUUUUGGAAGAGUUAUAGUCGGGUGUGACAUACUUUUUCAGGUAUUUUGUGUCUGAUGUAUGUAAGAGCUUUAUUAUUGGGUUUCUUGGUGAGACCUUAUAUUUAUGUGUCCUAUAACCCCCUGUAAUUGCGGAUUAUUGCAUACAUUCUAAUUGGUUUUUUUUUGUAGGAGUCUGAAGAUGCAAAUGAUACAAUUUCAAACUUAUCACAACCCAUAUUGUGGUCGUUGGCAUCGAACUUACUAGAAUACGACUAGAAACUGUCAAUCAUACGUUAUCGAGGGAAAGGAUGAAAGUUCCAUAACAAGCAACAGUUGUUUUGAUGCAAUUAUCGCCUUAUUGGCAAGUUUUUACAUCUUCAAUAUUGAGUACUGCCACACGAAGAGCAUCUUGUCUGCUUUGCAGACUAUAGUAGUGCAUGGGCAAGACAGAAAAUGGCAUAUACAACUGCCAGUGAGGGUCACAGCCCUCUUCAAUGACUUGUCAUGACUCAUGAGUAUUAGUACUACAGUAAUUUUACACUUUUUGAGAGUUAUGUUGACAUAUGCUAACCCAAGUUAAUGUUAUUGAUGGAAUGUGUGUAUUGUCUCACAUCUCACCGAACUGUGGUAAUGUAUUAGAAAUUAUUCGUAUUGCGUUCAUGUUAACAACCGCGCCUGCUAUUGCUAUCACAAGUUGAUUGCUCUUUAAAAUUAGAAUUGUAAACUUUCGGAGCCAUAUGGCAUAUAUGUACGAAUCUUUUGAUGGUUCCCACAUUUCGGUGAGAUCCAUAAUACUGACUACUGUGCAUGUAUAUUGUAAUUUUAGUUAUAGUAUUGUGUUUAUAAUACAGAAAUUGGAACAUUUAUCUCAACUUAUAUUGCAAUAAUUCAUUCCAAUCUUGGUCUGUUGGAGAAAUUGUAAUAAUUUAAUCAAGACCAAAUAAACCCCAAUAUUUUUGCCUGAUUCAUUAUAUACAUGUAGAAUACGUCUACAUGCAAGAGUGCAACCAAAUCCACAUGACUUUAAAUGCUAUAUAAAACGGCACCACCAAAAAGCUAUAUCAGCUCGAUCGGUUCUAAAGCACCUCUUCAUUGGGGCUGAGACUGCUCUCCUCUGAAAGGGCCAGAACAGCUCCGGUUAACAAAGUAGGGGUUAAAUUGGCUUUUCUUUUGGAUCUAUAAUGGCUCUGAAAUUGGACCAAAU